UACGAAGGGGGCUAGCGUUGCUCGGAAUCACUGGGCGUAAAGGGCGCGUAGGCGGAUCUUUAAGUCGGGGGUGAAAGCCCAGGGCUCAACUCUGGAAUUGCCUUCGAUACUGAAGAUCUCGAGACCGGAAGAGGUAAGUGGAACUGCGAGUGUAGAGGUGAAAUUCGUAGAUAUUCGCAAGAACACCAGUGGCGAAGGCGGCUUACUGGUCCGGUUCUGACGCUGAGGCGCGAAAGCGUGGGGAGCAAACAGG
rnacentral:rRNA from 1 species